UACGAAGGGGGCUAGCGUUGCUCGGAUUUACUGGGCGUAAAGCGCACGUAGGCGGAUUGUUAAGUCAGAGGUGAAAUCCCGGAGCUCAACUUCGGAACUGCCUUUGAUACUGGCAAUCUCGAGUCCGGAAGAGGUUAGUGGAAUUCCCAGUGUAGAGGUGAAAUUCGUAGAUAUUGGGAAGAACACCAGUGGCGAAGGCGGCUAACUGGUCCGGUACUGACGCUGAGGUGCGAAAGCGUGGGGAGCAAACAGG
rnacentral:rRNA from 1 species